rnacentral:rRNA from 1 species
AACGAACGCUGGCGGCAUGCCUAACACAUGCAAGUCGAACGGGACCUUCGGGUCUAGUGGCGCACGGGUGCGUAACGCGGGGGAACCUGCACGUAGGUUCGGAAUAACUCACCGAAAGGGGUGCUAAUACCGGAUAAUGUCUUCGGACCAAAGAGUUAUCGCCUUUGGGUGGGCCCGCGUUGGAUUAGCUAGUUGGUAGGGUAAAAGCCUACCAAGGCGACGAUCCAGAGCUGGUCUGAGAGGAUGAUCAGCCACACUGGGACUGAGACACGGCCCAGACUCGUACGGGAAGGAGCAGUGGGGAAUAUUGGACAAGGGGCGAAGGUCUGAUCCAGCCAUGCCGCGUGAGUGAUGAAGGCCUUAGGGUUGUAAAGCUCUUUUACCCGGGAUGAUAAUGACAGUACCGGGAGAAUAAGCUCCGGCUAACUCCGUG